rnacentral:rRNA from 1 species
UGGGGAAUUUUGGACAAUGGGGGAAACCCUGAUCCAGCCAUCCCGCGUGUGCGAUGAAGGCCUUCGGGUUGUAAAGCACUUUUGGCAGGAAAGAAACGUCGUGGGUUAAUACCCCGCGAAACUGACGGUACCUGCAGAAUAAGCACCGGCUAACUACGUGCCAGCAGCCGCGGUAAUACGUAGGGUGCAAGCGUUAAUCGGAAUUACUGGGCGUAAAGCGUGCGCAGGCGGUUCGGAAAGAAAGAUGUGAAAUCCCAGAGCUUAACUUUGGAACUGCAUUUUUAACUACCGGGCUAGAGUGUGUCAGAGGGAGGUGGAAUUCCGCGUGUAGCAGUGAAAUGCGUAGAUAUGCGGAGGAACACCGAUGGCGAAGGCAGCCUCCUGGGAUAACACUGACGCUCAUGCACGAAAAGCGUGGGGAGCAAACAGGAUUAGAUACCCUGGUAGUCCACGCCCUAAACGAUGUCAACUAGCUGUUGGGGUCUUCGGACCUUGGUAGCGCAGCUAACGCGUGAAGUUGACCGCCUGGGGAGUACGGUCGCAAGAUUAAAACUCAAAUGAAUUGAC